GACGAACGCUGGCGGCGUGCCUAACACAUGCAAGUCGAACGGGGUUAUUUCUUCGGAGAUAACUUAGUGGCGAACGGGUGAGUAACGCGUGAGAAACCUGCCUUUCAGUGGGGGACAACAGUUGGAAACGACUGCUAAUACCGCAUAAUGUCAUUUGGGGGCAUCCCUGAAUGACCAAAGAUUUAUUGCUGAAAGAUGGUCUCGCGUCUGAUUAGCUAGAUGGCGGGGUAACGGCCCACCAUGGCGACGAUCAGUAGCCGGUCUGAGAGGAUGAACGGCCACAUUGGGACUGAGAUACGGCCCAGACUCCUACGGGAGGCAGCAGUGGGGAAUAUUGGGCAAUGGGGGAAACCCUGACCCAGCAACGCCGCGUGAAGGAAGAAGGCCUUCGGGUUGUAAACUUCUUUUACCAGGGACGAACAAAUGACGGUACCUGGAGAAAAAGCAACGGCUAACUACGUGCCAGCCGCCGCAGUAAGAC
rnacentral:rRNA from 1 species